GACGAACGCUGGCGGCGUGCUUAACACAUGCAAGUCGAACGGCAAGGCCCUGCUUUUGUGGGGUGCUCGAGUGGCGAACGGGUGAGUAACACGUGAGUAACCUGCCCUUGACUUUGGGAUAACUUCAGGAAACUGGGGCUAAUACCGGAUAGGAGCUCCUGCUGCAUGGUGGGGGUUGGAAAGUUUCGGCGGUUGGGGAUGGACUCGCGGCUUAUCAGCUUGUUGGUGGGGUAGUGGCUUACCCAGGCUUUGACGGGUAGCCGGCCUGAGAGGGUGACCGGCCACAUUGGGACUGAGGUACGGCCCAGACUCGUACGGGAGGCAGCAGUGGGGAAUAUUGCACAAUGGGCGGAAGCCUGAUGCAGCAACGCCGCGUGCGGGAUGACGGCCUUCGGGUUGUAAACCGCUUUCGCCUGUGACGAAGCGUGAGUGACGGUAAUGGGUAAAGAAGCACCGGCUAACUACGUG
rnacentral:rRNA from 1 species